rnacentral:rRNA from 1 species
AACGAACGCUGGCGGCGUGUCUUAAGCAUGCAAGUCGAGCGGCAAGCAGUAGCAAUACUGCCUAGAGCGGCGGACUGGUGAGUAACGCGUGGGUGAUCUGCCCUUGGGAUGGGGAUAGCCGUUAGAAAUAGCGGGUAAUACCGAAUACGUUCGUCGGACUACGGUCCGAUGAAGAAAGGCGCUUUGGCGCCACCCGAGGAUGAGCCUGCGUCUCAUUAGCUAGUUGGUGGGGUAAAAGCCUACCAAGGCGAUGAUGAGUAGCCGGCCUGAGAGGGUGUACGGCCACACUGGGACUGAGAUACGGCCCAGACUCCUACGGGAGGCAGCAGCUAAGAAUAUUCCGCAAUGGACGAAAGUCUGACGGAGCGACGCCGCGUGGAUGAUGAAGGCCGUGAGGUUGUAAAAUCCUUUUGCUGGGGAAGAAUAACCAUGGGAGGGAAUGCCCGUGGGAUGACAUGAACCGGCGAAUAAGCCCCGGCUAACCUACGUGCC